rnacentral:rRNA from 1 species
AUUGAACGCUGGCGGCAUGCUUUACACAUGCAAGUCGAACGGCAGCACGGGGGCAACCCUGGUGGCGAGUGGCGAACGGGUGAGUAAUGCAUAGGAAUCUGCCUAUUAGUGGGGGACAACAUUCCGAAAGGGAUGCUAAUACCGCAUACGUUCUACGGGAGAAAGCAGGGGAUCACUUGUGACCUUGCGCUAAUAGAUGAGCCUAAGUCGGAUUAGCUAGUUGGUGGGGUAAAGGCCUACCAAGGCGACGAUCUGUAGCGGGUCUGAGAGGAUGAUCCGCCACACUGGGACUGAGACACGGCCCAGACUCCUACGGGAGGCAGCAGUGGGGAAUAUUGGACAAUGGGGGGAACCCUGAUCCAGCGACGCCGCGUGGGUGAAGAAGGCCUGCGGGUUGUAAAGCCCUUUCGGUAGGGACGAAAGCUCUCGACCUAACACGUCGGGAGGUUGACUUAACCUACAGAAGAAGCACCGGCUAACUCUGUGCCAGCAGCCGCCGUAAAAC